rnacentral:piRNA from 1 species
UACACAUAAGCUGGGAGAUGGCCUAGCAAC